GAUGAACGCUGGCGGCGUGCUUAAUACAUGCAAGUCGAACGAAACUUCUUUAUCACCGAGUGCUUGCACUCACCGAUAAAGAGUUGAGUGGCGAACGGGUGAGUAACACGUGGGCAACCUGCCCAAAAGAGGGGGAUAACACUUGCAAACAGGUGCUAACACCGCAUAACCAUAGUUACCGCAUGGUAACUAUGUAAAAGGUGGCUAUACUACCGCUUUUGGAUGGGCCCUGGGCGCAUUAGCCAGUUGGUAGGGUCAAGGCUUACCAAGGCAAUGAUGCGUAGCCGAAUUGAGAGGUUGGUCGGCGACAUUGGGAGUGAGACACGGCCCAAACUCCUGCGGGAGGCAGCAGUAGGGAAUCUUACACAAUGGGCGAAAGCCUGAUGGAGCAACGCCGCGUGGGUGAAGAAGAUGUUCGGAUGGGAAAACCCUGUUGUUAGUGGAGAAAGUGCGUGAGAGUAAAUGUUCACGUUUCGACGGUAUCUAACCAGAAAGCCACGGCUAACUACGUG
rnacentral:rRNA from 1 species